rnacentral:rRNA from 1 species
AAUCAACGCUGGCGGCGUGCCUCAGACAUGCAAGUCGAACGAUUAAAGCUCUCUUCGGAGAGUGUAUAGAGUGGCGCACGGGUGAGUAACACGUAAGUAAUCUACCCUCGAGUGGGGAAUAACAACCGGAAACGGUUGCUAAUACCGCAUAAUGCAGCGGCACCGCAAGGUGACAGUUGUUAAAGAUUUAUCGCUUGAGGAGGAGCUUGCGGCAGAUUAGCUAGUUGGUAGGGUAACGGCUUACCAAGGCUACGAUCUGUAACCGGUCUAAGAGGACGGUCGGUCACACUGACACUGAAUAACGGGUCAGACUCCUACGGGAGGCAGCAGUCGGGAAUUUGGGCAAUGGGCGAAAGCCUGACCCAGCAACGCCGCGUGAAGGAUGAAGUAUUUCGGUAUGUAAACUUCGAAAGAAUAGGAAGAAUUAAUGACGGUACUAUUAUAAGGUCCGGCUAACUACGUGCCAGCAGCCGCGGUAAU